AUACGUAGGUGGCGAGCGUUAUCCGGAAUUACUGGGUGUAAAGGGUGUGUAGGCGGGAUUGCAAGUCAGGCGUGAAAUGGGGAGGCUCAACCAUCCAGCUGCGCUUGAAACUGUAAUUCUUGAGAGUGGGAGAGGUAAACGGAAUUCCUGGUGUAGUAGUGAAAUGCGUAGAUAUCAGGAGGAACACCGGUGGCGAAGGCGGUUUACUGGACCACAAAGGACGCUGAGACACGAAAGCGUGGGGAGCAAACAGGGUUAGAUACCCUGGUAGUCCACGCUGUAAACGAUGAAUACUAGGUGUAGGGUCCGCAGGGAUUCUGGGCCGGAGUUAACACAAUAAGGAUUCCACCUGGGGAGUACGGCCGCAAGGUUGAAACUCAAAUGAAUUGACGGGG
rnacentral:rRNA from 1 species